GACGACGUGCCCGAGCGGCCUAAGGGGGCCGACUUCUAUUCGGCUGCGGUUUCCGUUCGCAGGUUCGAAUCCUGCCGUCGUCG
rfam:Allomyces macrogynus ATCC 38327 genomic scaffold supercont3.47, whole genome shotgun sequence.